UUCUAUAGAGCCCUCCUGGUGGCUCCUAGCCGGUGUCUGACUGACCUUUUUUGCACUUUUUCUAUACAGAUCAUUAAACUCUUGGGUUUAUUUUGCAGCAUACAAGUUAACAUAGGUCUCACGCAAGUAAAUAUCAAAGCUAAGAACAGUAGCUUCCAUGGCAAAGCAUCCACUUUAUAUCAGACACCAUCCCAGAUGGCCUGAAGUAGCUCUUUAAACCCACAUGACCCCCCCCACCCCCUGCCAAGAAGCCAUUCUCCCAUCUUAUAAAUGAGGGACCUGAGACACAGGCACUACUUUUUAAAUUUUGCCCCAAACCAUUUGAUUUGUUUGGAGAAAUCGGCGAUUGUUGUUGCUGGUUCCCCUCCUGCGGUCAGUCUGUCUUCUCCGUCGGUUUGUCCACAACCAGCAUCUUGGCUCAGCUUUGUCAUCUGUCCCCUGACCAGUUGCCAUUCCUUGCCUUGGGGUAACCCGGGGUUCUUUCAAACACACCCUUGUCUUGUCUCCACCAGACUGAGGCAGACCCCCUCCCUCUCCCCACAGAACAUUUCAUGGAUUGUGCUGUCCCUCCCUUUCUCUUUCGGGAAGGACUUGUUGGCUAAGAACACCUGCUGGUCUGGACUUCUUCCUUCUCUCCGUGCCCACUGCUCGGAUAAGAAGCUUCUCUCGCCUCCUGCUAGUGAUUCAUCAUCCAGGAGUGAUCGAAGGGAUCAAAGAUGGUAGGAGCAGUUGUGUGCUGCUAACCAUAGAGGUCUCACCUGUCUACGGAAACCUAACUGAACAGUUUUGUUUCCUGUUCCCGUAUCAAAGAUGACUGUAUCAUCCUUCCACGUGAGAGGACGUGCAAGUAGGAAAUGUUCAGCAUGUUAUUUGCAUCACCUCAUGGAGUUCCUGUUCAUGGUGCAGACUUUGUGAACAAAACCCACAGGACCCUCAGUCUGUCCAGGUGUCAGGCUGACUGCAGUGAUGAAGAACGGUAUUGCAGGUCCCGUCUGAAGAUAGCAAGCCCUCACAGUGAUGGAAAAUCUCCAUAGACACUCUAUCGUUUUAUUUCAAAGCAGGGGAGACGAAUCUGUGUGUAGCAGAGAAACAUCGAUUUUAAUGUCCAGUUUCAAGAGAUUGUCAAUUAGCAAAUAGUAACGUUUGUUUUGAAUGCUGUAAGUCACAGUUUUCCUCUGCACAUGGGACAAGUCCCAUGCGUGUGACAACACCCUGAUGCCAUGAUAGUAGGUCUCAGUCCGUUUAUGCUGCCAGAAUCAAAUGCCACGGACUGGGUGGCGCCUACACCACAGAAGUUCAUUGCUCACAGCUCUGGAGGCUGGAAGGUCCGCUCUCAGGGCAUCAGCACGGCUGGGUUCUGGCGAAGACCCUCCUCCGGGCUGCAGGCUGCAGACUCCUUGCCGCGUCCUCCCGUGGUGGAAGGGACACGCUAGCUCGCUGUGUUGCCGCAAAAGGCAGAACCUUCGUGAUCUAACCAAACCCCCCAGAGCCCCAUCACCUUUGGGGUUAGAAUUCCCACAGAAGAGUUUUGGGGAGACGCGAAUAUUCGGACCCUAGCAAAGUGUGAGGGUGAACAAGAGCCGGGGGGGUGACUCGGCCCGUCAUUCUGUAAGAGGAACCAUUGCACAAGCCCUAGGUUCACGGCCUUGAAGGCCUGCAGGGCGCCACACAGGACCUUGGUGAGAGAGAAGGUCCGUGUCAUUGAGUCUACUCCCAAUGAGAAGGCUGAUCCUGUGAGGUCCUAAUAGCAACGAAAAAAAAAAAAAAAAUUCUAGAGGCUAAUUGACUCCUAUGAGUUCGAGGUUCCUUCUACCCCAGAAGUUGGCAGACUUUUUCUCUAAAGGGUCAGAUGGAAAAUAUUUUAGUCUCUGUGGGUCAUUUAGUACCUUUUGCGACAACUCGACUCUCCCAUUAGAGCGCAAAAGCCAAAAAGUGAAUGAACGUGACUGUUUCAACGGAACAGAGAUCAUACCCUAAACGUAUUUUUUCUAGCCUUUCUUAUGCCUGUACUUCUGGGCACUGGGAUUUGAACUUCACGGAAUUUGCCUACGUCAAGAAAUACCAUUCUUCUUGUGAUUUCUUAAAAUUGCUAACCACUCUUAGCUCAUGAGGCAUACCAAAGGUGUGUCAACCUUGGCUGAAACCGUGCUCCUCACCAUGUGGUCCACAGACCUGUGGCUUCACCCGGAGGCUCAUCAGGAAUGCUGAUUCUCAGGCUCCGUUGCAAACAUGCUCUGUCAGAACUAGAAGACUAAAUAUCAGGAAGGCAGAGACCUCGUCUGCUCUAGAUGUAGACCCAACACAGUGCCUUAUACACAGUAGCUUCUCAGACAAAUAUUUGUUAAAAGAAUGCCUCCAGGAGUUUGUUCAGGCUCCCCCAUUAUAAACAAGUAAAUCUUCUGGGAAUACGUGCUCGAAGGGUUAAAAUGAACUUCUGUCAUCAGUCAGAAGUUUUUGCUUGUUGAAGGGCUAGAAAUACAUGUCCCCCUUAGCCUCACAGUAUAUCCUUCUCCAGGAUGACUUAACCAUGAUGGAUUUUUGCCACAUACACAACAGAAGAGUAAACUUACAUGAACUAAGAGGCUGGACGUUCAGCAAAAUUAAUACACUGGAUACAAAUCAAGAUGCAAAUAGAUUUUGUGGGUUGUGUUGAAACCGUGGUAAACAUGACGCAGAAGACAGGCGAGAAAAAAUAUGUGUAGAGUAUGAUCUCUUGAACCAAGCACGGAGAGAGAACAGAUCUCCCCAAGGAAGUCUAAAAAAUCUCUAAGCCUCCUCAACCCAGCCUCCCGGGUACUGACUUUUCUUGUUCUGACACAGCUCUUGGGGAGAAUACCCUUCCUCGGGGAAAAGAAGGCUUUUGAGGAACAACA